GACGUAGGGGGCCAGCGUUGUUCGGAAUUACUGGGUGUAAAGGGUUCGUAGGCGGUGUGGCAAGUCGGGAGUGAAAUCUCUGGGCUCAACCCAGAGUCUGCUUCCGAAACUGCUGUGCUUGAGUGUGGGAGAGGCGCGUGGAAUUGCAGGUGUAGCGGUGAAAUGCGUAGAUAUCUGCAGGAACCCCCGGGGCGAAAGCGGCGCGCUGGACCACUACUGACGCUGAGGAACGAAAGCUAGGGGAGCAAACAGG
rnacentral:rRNA from 1 species